rnacentral:siRNA from 1 species
CAUAAAUGCCUACAUUUAUGUGGU